rnacentral:piRNA from 1 species
CAACUGAUGCAAGGCACAUCCUACAC